CCCUUAGACGUUCUGGGCCGCACGCGCGCUACAAUGAUGAAUUCAACGAGUUUAUAACCUUGGUUGAAAAGCCUGGGUAAUCUUUUGAACUUUCGUCGUGAUGGGGCUAGACCCUUGCAAUUAUUGGUCUCCAACGAGGAAUUCCUAGUAAACGCAAGUCAUCAGCUUGCAUUGAUUACGUCCCUGCCCUUUGUACACACCGCCCGUCGCACCUACCGAUUGAAUGGUCCGGUGAAAUCUUCGGAUUGAGACUUUGAUUUCUUCACGGAAAACGCUGUUUUAAGAAGUUGAUUAAACCUUACCAUUUAGAGGAAGGUGAAGUCGUAACA
rnacentral:rRNA from 1 species